rnacentral:rRNA from 1 species
GGAAGGUGGGGAGUGACGUCAAAUCAUCAUGCCCCUUAUGACCUGGGCUACACACGUGCUACAAUGGUUGGUACAACGAGUUGCGAGUCGGUGACGGCGAGCUAAUCUCUUAAAGCCAAUCUCAGUUCGGAUUGUAGGCUGCAACUCGCCUACAUGAAGUCGGAAUCGCUAGUAAUCGCGGAUCAGCACGCCGCGGUGAAUACGUUCCCGGGCCUU